UUUGAGAAUGUAAUAUCUAAAUACUUAAUUUGAACCUUGAACUAUAGGAGGGAUGACCUUGUUCCAUUCAUCAUCCCAACGAUAUUCAGAUUCCUUGAGAGCACCCAGUUUCAAUGAAUUUAAUUCAUUAGCAUGAGUUAAUAAAUACUAAAACAGUUAGUUAUCGUACGAAAAAGCCAAUAAAUUAUGUAGGAAUCGCUAUUCAAGGUUUUUUUUGUAAAAAAAUCUUUUUUCAUACCUGCAUUUUUUUCGAUAGAGCUUUUGAAUCGUUAACGAUCAACCCGUUUUCGCCAUCAUGUACCAAUUCAGAAAUCGUUGGAUAAGAAAGCGCAAUAACAGGGACACCACAGCCAAACAAAUCUACAACUUUCAUAGGCAAGUCAAGUCCACUUGAACUAGUAUGCAAGCAUACACCAAGAUCUGCGCAGGCCAUAACCUGCGGAUAAUCUUCAAUACUGAGCCAAGGCAUGCAAAAACGAACUUUGUGUAAUGGAUGCUUCUUAAUGUACUGAGAAAAUUCUUCCUUCAUCGGGCCUUUUCCAGUUAUCAGCACCAAAAGCUUGGGCGUAUCUAAAGUUUUGUCGUACUCAUUAAGAGCCUCCCAUAAAAUGUAAAUAUCCUCGUCUGGUGUCCAAGAGGUAGAAGUAAUUAAGAGCUUCGUAGAAGAAGGAUUGUACUCACAAGGUAUUUUUUUGAUAGACAUUUGCUUUUUCUGUUCAUUUUUAAUGGGAGUAAAGUGGUUGGGGGGUCUAUCAUAACAUACAUAGCAAGGACUUGAAAAUGUUAGAGUUGAGCAAAAAGCAAAUUUAUACUUACUUCAUUCCCCAAGUUUGUAAAACAUCUUUCAUCCGUUUAGAGACAGUCAAAUGAGCAUAUGCUCCUCGGGCCAUGUAUUUCUCAUAAAUUUUAAGUAAUUUAACAAAGGUAUGCUGCUUCCCUAAUUUCAACGCAAGUAUUGAAUAUCCAAAGUUAUGCCAAUCUAUGAUAAAUUUUGUACCACGUAGUAUAUGAAGACAUUGAGCAAUGAAGAAAACAGGGAUGCAAGGAGGAUUUUGAAUGAACAGGAAUGAAGCAGGUUUUCGAACAAAAAGAGCCCAGUUCAGUGCAAGAAAUUGAUGUAAAACCUUCAAUGGUCCCAAAAACAAAAACUGAAGGCGGUUCUUAGGUUGAAGAUACGCAGGAAGUGAAGGAAUGGGAUAAAAACGAAUGUUUUCAUGACUUUCGAAAAGUCCUACAGAUGACCCGGGGUCUACGACAGUGUUAGUGACAACAAAUACACCUAAUGUGGUAUAGAUUAAAAUAUUCAAAUAUUUUAGAUAACUUACGCUGAUAGCCUAACAAAUCAACCUUCCAUCCAAGUUUAGCGAAGCUAACGGCAUGAUAUUGCAUUCUAGGGCUUCUUGCAAUAUCUCCUAGGACGAGAACAAUAAUUCUUUUCUUAUCCGUCCUCUUUUUUAAAUUAAACCAUAUCACCAAAGAUAAAAAUAAAACUAUCUUCAAUACUAGCAUUUUGUACACAAACUCACGGUUACUGAUCGAAUUUCGAAACUUCCGCUUAAGAAAACUAGUUAUUAAAUACUGUUAGACAUAUAAAAAGCGAAUAUCUUCUUAAAACAACUUUCUAUAGGUAGGUGUACAGCGCUGAUGGUUUACGUAAAUAUUAUUGUGCCCAUAAUACACUAUUAAACAGCAACCUACCCAAUAUGUCGAAACUCGAAAUAACAUGCAUUUAAAAUACAAAGGAAAAGGAAUAGAAGCAUGAUUGUACUCUUAAAGAAAAAAA